rnacentral:rRNA from 1 species
CCUACGGGUGGCAGCAGUGAGGAAUAUUGGUCAAUGGCCGAGAGGCUGAACCAGCCAAGUCGCGUGAGGGAAGAAUGUCCUAUGGAUUGUAAACCGCUUUUGUCAGGGAGCAAAGUCACCCACGUGUGGUUGUUGGAAAGUACCUGAAGAAAAAGCAUCGGCUAACUCCGUGCCAGCAGCCGCGGUAAUACGGAGGAUGCGAGCGUUAUCCGGAUUUAUUGGGUUUAAGGGGUGCGUAGGCGGGUUAUCAAGUCAGCGGUAAAAUGGUGGAGCUCAACUCGAUCCGGCCGUUGAAACUGAGGAUCUUGAGUGGGCGAGACGUAUGCGGAAUGCGUGGUGUAGCGGUGAAAUGCAUAGAUAUCACGAAGAACUCCGAUUGCGAAGGCAGCAUACCGGCGCCCGACUGACGCUGAAGCACGAAAGCGUGGGUAUCGAACAGGAUUAGAUACCCGUGUAGUC